GCGGCAGUCUAACACAUGCAAGUCGAACGGUAACAGGAAGCAGCUUGCUGCUUUGCUGACGAGUGGCGGACGGGUGAGUAAUGUCUGGGAAACUGCCUGAUGGAGGGGGAUAACUACUGGAAACGGUAGCUAAUACCGCAUAACGUCGCAAGACCAAAGAGGGGGACCUUCGGGCCUCUUGCCAUCGGAUGUGCCCAGAUGGGAUUAGCUAGUAGGUGGGGUAACGGCUCACCUAGGCGACGAUCCCUAGCUGGUCUGAGAGGAUGACCAGCCACACUGGAACUGAGACACGGUCCAGACUCCUACGGGAGGCAGCAGUGGGGAAUAUUGCACAAUGGGCGCAAGCCUGAUGCAGCCAUGCCGCGUGUAUGAAGAAGGCCUUCGGGUUGUAAG
rnacentral:rRNA from 1 species